rnacentral:rRNA from 1 species
CGGCUCCCGGCGGGACGCCCGCUCACUUAUGGCGGCUCCCGGCAGGACGCCCGCUCACAUAUACCGGCUCCCGGCGGACGCCCGCUCACUAUGGCGGCGGGCGUCGGUCGUGGAAC